AUUGAACGCUGGCGGCAGGCUUAACACAUGCAAGUCGAGCGGAGAUGAGGUGCUUGCACCUUAUCUUAGCGGCGGACGGGUGAGUAAUGCUUAGGAAUCUGCCUAUUAGUGGGGGACAACAUUCCGAAAGGAAUGCUAAUACCGCAUACGUCCUACGGGAGAAAGCAGGGGAUCUUCGGACCUUGCGCUAAUAGAUGAGCCUAAGUCGGAUUAGCUAGUUGGUGGGGUAAAGGCCUACCAAGGCGACGAUCUGUAGCGGGUCUGAGAGGAUGAUCCGACACACUGGGACUGAGACACGGCCCAGACUCCUACGGGAGGCAGCAGUGGGGAAUAUUGCACAAUGGGGGGAACCCUGAUCCAGCCAUGCCGCGUGUGUGAAGAAGGCCUUAUGGUUGUAAAGCACUUUAAGCGAGGAGGAGGCUACUGAGACUAAUACUCUUGGAUAGUGGACGUUACUCGCAGAAUAAGCACCGGCUAACUCUGUGCCAGCCGCCGCAGUAA
rnacentral:rRNA from 1 species